rnacentral:pre_miRNA from 1 species
UUGGAGCCGGGUGGUGAAAUCGACUCGUCGCUGGCGGAAAAUCUGGAUCAGUCCGAAACUCAUAUUCCGAUUUUCCGCCAGCGACAAGUCGAUUUCGCCACCCGCGGCUCCAAAAU